CCUACGGGAGGCAGCAGUGAGGAAUAUUGGUCAAUGGGCUUACGCCUGAACCAGCCAAGUCGCGUGAGGGAAGACUGCCCUAUGGGUUGUAAACCUCUUUUGUCAGGGAGCAACGCCGGCUACGUGUAGCCGGACUGAGAGUACCUGAAGAAAAAGCAUCGGCUAACUCCGUGCCAGCAGCCGCGGUAAUACGGAGGAUGCGAGCGUUAUCCGGAUUUAUUGGGUUUAAAGGGUGCGUAGGCGGAAUGCCAAGUCAGCGGGAAAAUCGCGGGGCUCAACCUCGCUCCGCCGUUGAAACUGGCGUUCUUGAGUGGGCGAGAAGUAUGCGGAAUGCGUGGUGUAGCGGUGAAAUGCAGAGAUAUCACGCAGAACUCCGAUUGAGAAGGCAGCAUACCGGCGCCCAACUGACGCUGAAGCACGAAAGCGUGGGUAUCGAACAGGAUUAGAUACCCGGGUAGUC
rnacentral:rRNA from 1 species